rnacentral:rRNA from 1 species
GACGAACGCUGGCGGCGUGCCUAAUACAUGCAAGUCGAGCGGAUGGAAGGAAGCUUGCUUCCUAAAGUCAGCGGCGGACGGGUGAGUAACACGUGGGCAACCUGCCCCUAAGAUCGGGAUAACUUCGGGAAACCGGAGCUAAUACCGGAUAUGAUUAUGUCUCACAUGAGACAUAAUGGAAAGACGGUUUCGGCUGUCACUUAGGGAUGGGCCCGCGGCGCAUUAGCUAAGUGGUGAGGUAACGGCUCACCAAGGCGACGAUGCGUAGCCGACCUGAGAGGGUGAUCGGCCACACUGGGACUGAGACACGGCCCAGACUCCUACGGGAGGCAGCAGUAGGGAAUCUUCCGCAAUGGACGAAAGUCUGACGGAGCAACGCCGCGUGAGUGAAGAAGGUUUUCGGAUCGUAAAACUCUGUUGUUAGGGAAGAACAAGUACCAUAGUAACUGAUGGUACCUUGACGGUACCUAACCAGAAAGCCACGGCUAACUACGUGCCAGCCGCCGCAGUAACAC